AUACAGAACACAUCAUCACAUCAUCCACACAGUAAAUGGUUAAAUGAAGCUGUGUAGAUUCUAGGCCUGGCUACAGUCUAUUGUGGAUGAGGUUUGCUCCAUAAUAAUGGCUAGUGGGCAGGAUGUAGUGUCUAGCUGGCUGAUCUAGAAGGUACCGUGCUACUGUAAGGGCAGGCAUGCUGGGGUCACUCAGGUUUCAGCCGGGCUGUAACACAAUGACAUUGUAUCAUGGUCUAUCUCUCAGAGCCAUACUGCCACAGCCUCAGGCCUUAUGGCCAACAUAUACACCCAUCAGAUGAAGAAGGAAUAUCAUUUAAAAACUACAGAGCCAGAGGCAAACUGAUAUUCUAUCCUCUCCUCUCCUCAUUUCCUCUCCUCAUUUCCUCUCCUACUCUCUCACAUCUCCUCUCCUCAUUUCCUCUCCUACUCUCUCACAUCUCCUCUCUUCAUUUCCUCUCCUACUCUCUCACAUCUCCUCUCCUCAUUUCCUCUCCUACUCUCUCACAUCUCCUCUCCUCAUUUCCUUUCCUACUCUCUCACAUCUCCUCUCCUCAUUUCCUCUCCUACUCUCUCACAUCUCCUCUCCUCAUUUCCUUUCCUACUCUCUCACAUCUCCUCUCCUCAUUUCCUCUCCUACUCUCUCACAUCUCCGCUCCUCAUUUCCUUUCCUACUCUCUCACAUCUCCUCUCCUCAUUUCCUCUCCUCAUUUCCUCUCCUACUCUCUCACAUCUCCUCUCCUCAUUUCCUCUCCUACUCUCUCACAUCUCCUCUCUUCAUUUCCUCUCCUACUCUCUCACAUCUCCUCUCUUCAUUUCCUCGCCUACUCUCUCACAUCUCCUCUUCUCAUUUCCUCUCCUACACUCUCUCCUCUCCUCUCCUUUCUAUUCCUCUCCUAUCCUCCUCACUUCUCUCCUCUCCUUUCUGUUCCUCUCCUCUCUCUGUCCUCUCCUUCCUUUGCUCUCUCCUCUACUCCCUCUCCAUUCCUCUCUUCUCCUCCUCUCUCCUCUCCUUUAAGUCUCAGUUUAGUGGUACUGUCGCUGUAAAUAAUUUAUUGGUAGAAUGAGUUGUUGCUGCUAGGCAAGUAUCUGACAUGUUUUCUUAAAGAGACGUUACACACCACCUUUACUUUCCCUUUACUCUUUAUGGUCUAUAAAAUCACUGCGC
rnacentral:lncRNA from 1 species